UCGCAGGGUUUCAGCCAGAGACCCGUUUGCCACAGGAAGCCAAGCUCGUCUGGAUCCACCAUGGCCUGGGCCCCUCUGCUCCUCACGCUGCUCACUUACUGCAUUGGUUUCAGUUCCCAGCAGCUCCAGUCGCUGAAGGCGUCCGAGUUAGUGUCUCCUGGAGGGACCGUGACCCUCUCCUGCAGCCUGAGCAGUGGGGCCAUCACUGAUGGCAACUACCCGAACUGGGUUCAACAGAGACUGGGGAAUGUUCCUCGGCUGAUCAUGUACAGCACGAAUACCAGACCCUCGGGGAUCCCAGAGCGUUUCACUGGCUCCAGAUCGGGUAACACCAUGUCCUUGACCAUCACGGGGGCCCUGGUGGAGGAUGAUGCUGAUUAUUACUGCACUGUGUGGACUGGGAGUGCUCGAGUCUUCGGUGCCCCCAUCUCCCCAUUUGUUAAAGUUUUGAUUCCUGUAUUUUUAUUGCAUUUGUAGCUCAUUUUACAACUUUGAUGCAUGAUUAGAGUGCACGAUUUAUCCCUGUCAUAAAAGACGAUAAAGUUGAACACUAGGAUCUGUAAAUCUGUAUUUAUUGAUGCCAUAUAAAAGCAAAUGG